rnacentral:lncRNA from 1 species
CCCUCAGCUCCAACUCUGCUGUGACUUGUCUAAAACUGUAAUUCUAUUUUCUUUUGUUUUCUUUAUUGCUUGUUUAAAAAAAAAAGACAACUUUAUUUAGUAACUCUAUCACCCCUUUCUGUACCCCUUCAAGUUCCCUCCUGUAUUUAUUUUUAUUUUUUUUCUGCUCAUUUCUACCAGGAGUGUUUUCAAAGUGGGGUUUUGGGUAGUAAAACUUCUGAGGCUGCUUCAUAGGUGAUACACUUUGAUUUGUGAUUCCUACUCUACCCUUAAAAACGAUUCAAUGGAAUAAUCUUCUGCCCCAGUCAGCUCUCACUGUUCACUUCCUUGUAGGUCAGAGUGCAAUAGGCCCUUUGAAAUCAUAAUCUCAAUGCUUGUAUUUGAAUGUGUCCACUCCCAGAAAUGAAUCACAAUGACAAAUCUGGAUUAGUGUCAAGCCUUCCCCAACUCUCAUUUUGAGCCGUUUGGCUCUGAAGCCAGCAAUGGCAUGAAGGGUAUGGCUGGAUUCUUCAUUCCUCCAUCUGUCCUCCACCUGGGGAACUCUGGCUUUCAAUCUCCUUGCUGCUUUCUGUUUUGAUUUCCCCCAAGUUCUCAGGUAGAAGAGGAAGACAGAGGAGGGAUAAAGAUAGGUGGAGAUGUCCAAGUGUAAAUUUAUGUAAGCUGGACAAAACAGCCAUGCCAAGGCAGAGAGACAUGGAAACGGUUGCUGUGACAGCCCUAUGACGAGAGUUGAUGUGUGGAAGUGUGGAAUGGGAGCCCCAGGGAGAAUGAUGGAAGGUAACACUGGGCAGAGGGCAUAAAAGUCAAUCAAUGCUCAUAAGGAGUUGGUUUUGUUAUUUAGGCUUUGUG